rnacentral:rRNA from 1 species
CCCGGGCCUUGUACACACCGCCCGUCACACCAUGGGAGUUGGUUUUACCCGAAGGCGCUGGGCCAACCCGAUAAGGGAGGCAGGCGACCACGGUAGGGUCAGCGACUGGGGUG